rnacentral:tRNA from 1 species
AUUAUUUUGGCAGAUUAGUGCAAUAAAUUUAGAAUUUAUUUAUGUAAUAUUAUUACAAAUAAUA